AUUUCUUAAUUUAUUUAUAUAGUUUAUAAAAAAACAUUACAUUUUCAUUGUAAAAUUAAAUUCAUUAUUUUAUAA
rnacentral:tRNA from 1 species